UACGGAGGGUGCAAACGUUGCUCGGAAUCAUUGGGCGUAAAGCGCGUGUAGGCGGCUCGGUAAGUCUGCUCUGAAAGUCCAAGGCUCAACCUUGGGAUGCGGGUGGAUACUGCCGGGCUCGAGUCCGGAAGAGGCGAGUGGAAUUCCGUGGUGUAGCGGUGAAAUGCGCAGAUAUCAGGAGGAACACCAUGGCGAAGGCAGCUCGCUGGGACGUGACUGACGCUGAGACGCGAAAGCGUGGGGAGCAAACAGG
rnacentral:rRNA from 1 species